GUUUUAACUCCAACCCUGUUCCUGGAGAGCUACCCUCCUGUAGGAUUUAACUCCAACCCUGUUCCUGGAGAGAUACCCCUCCUGUAGGUUUAUACUCCAACCCUGUUCCUGGAGAGCUACCCUCCUGUAGGUUUUAACUCCAACCCUGUUCCUGGAGAGCUACCCUCCUGUAGGUUUUAACUCCAACCCUGUUCCUGGAGAGAUAUCCUCCUGUAGGUUUUAACUCCAACCCUGUUCCUGGAGAGAUAUCCUCCUGUAGGUUUUAACUCCAACCCUGUUCCUGGAGAGAUAUCCUCCUGUAGGUUUUAACUCCAACCCUGUUCCUGGAGAGAUACCCUCCUGUAGGUUUUAACUCCAACCCUGUUCCUGGAGAGAUGCCCUCCUGUAGGUUUUAACUCCAACCCUGUUCCUGGAGAGCUACCCUCCUGUAGGUUUUAACUCCAACCCUGUUCCUGGAGAGAUACCCUCCUGUAGGUUUUAACUCCAACCCUGUUCCUGGAGAGAUACCCUCCUGUAGGUUU
rnacentral:lncRNA from 1 species